CGUCCCUCAUUCCUUCUCUCAUAAGGAGAGAUCGCCGCCCUAGGGUUCGGCCUGCCACCGCUGCCGCAAUCCCCACUGCCUGCUGCCGCUUCCGAACUCCCUGACGCCGUCGUCCCUGCAUCAGCUGCCGACCCGCCUCUACGCGGUGGCCAAUCCUACCACCUCGCCGAGCUUCGAUUUCUCGUAGUGGUCAAGCCACUGUGGUGCCUUCCACCUUGAGAUAUGGAGCUGCCUAAAGCAACCAGACGAGGCGAUGACCAGGGCGUCCAAACUGUACCGGCUCCACUCCCGGGCGUGUUGGUUUGGUGAUCGGCUCAACGGGACCUGGCCGUUGGGGCCUUACCACGCGGUCACCGUGCACGCUACUGUGGCGUCGACGUACGCGGAGAGCGCAAGGACAUUGAAGCUUGGGAGGAGGCCAUCGAUGAUAACGUCAUGGUCUGGAUGUCCGAGCCCAAGUAUUUGCCACUCUGGCCUAGGACCUCCUACUUUGCGCUGCCCUGGUCUCCACGAGCUUGUGACCCAUGGCAGCUGGCUUCAUCUCCCUUCAGAUUAGGCUGGUGGUUCUAUAGCCGGUUCAUCUAUCAUUUUUUUACUAAUGGUUCUCUUUUUUGAAGGAUUGAUUAGUGGUUCUUGCCUUCUUGUUACGUGCAGCGGAUGGGAAGCUGAUGAACUGCAGCUGCAUGCGCACAACACUUGCAUCAUUGAGGUACUCACUCCUCUACAGAACAUAACUAACUGCAUGAUGUGCAGCUGGGAGCCUGGGAAUGGCCUGUUACAGUGACAUGUUACACCGCCAGUCCCCCACUCAUUUUGCAACUACAUCUCGUAAUUGGUUUUUGUAGCUCCACUUCUACGACUUAUGAUUGUUGUGACAGGAUCUUUAAGAGAACACCUAUGAUUGCAGCGGCCAAGCUCUUCGGUCGUUCUUCUGAAAUUUCCUGUACUAAAAUUUGUUGUAUCCUUCAUAUAAGUGGGGUUUAGGCUUUUAGCCUAAGAAAUACAAGUUGCUAAUUUCAGCAGUUGAGCAGCCUUGCGGAAUAGUACAGUGAACAAGAAGCCUGCAUUUGUUGAUUUUAUUCAUUUAAUGGUUAUUAGGCUAAGUCGAAGGACUAGCGGGACUUAUAAACAUCAGGUCACCUUUUAAAGGGUCUUUGAAAGAAGUGUUUAAGGAUCUGCAAUUGUGCCGUGGUAAAAUCUACUGACGUUGGUGUUUCUUUUCAAGAUUAUACUAUUGUUUACCCAUUUGGUCCACGUUUUGUCUACUAAAAUUAUUUUUCUAUUCCUUGUGGAUAAUUUGCUUCAGUUCAUCAGACUAUCUGGUGAAACAUGCAUAUUGUUUAUCCAAACAUAUAUUGGGUAUUAGUUCACCAAUCAUGAGAUCUCUGAAUUUUGAAGGCAAAUGGUAUUUUCUGAAUUGUCACUGUUAAGUGGGAGAAGUGAUAGAGAAUGAAGAAUUGUUCCUUCAUAAAGUUUUACCAAUAUACUAUGCUUGGACUCAAAGUGCAAUGGAGUACUGGGAGAAGGACAAGUAGCUCCAUGGUAUACUUUUGAAGGGCGGAUAUUUUUUUCCAGAAAAGGCGGAAGACUUGCGCUUCAUUAUAUCAUAAGAAGCGAGAAGACAGAGUGUGAUAAUUACAAGAGACCUGACCCUAUCAGGCAACAACUGAAUAAAAGUUCCUAACUAUCUGGAUAUUUCUUUUUGUACAAAAUUGAUGAAUCAUUUCCUGUUCGUUUUGCAGAAAUUUGUGGAUAUUUAAGUUGAAGGGCCACCAUCUUACUCACACAGGUCAAAAGGAUUUUGUUUGCCCACAUCCAGGUUGUGCUAAGGCAGGGAUUCACUAAAUUUCCAUUGCAUGACAACAUUUUUACUCCUAAUUCUCAACAUACAGUUCGAGCUUAUAGCUGCAGUGUUCUUCUAUCUAAUGACGCUACCAAUUGUACCCUACCUAAUAUGUUUCACUGAUUUGAUUAGAUGAACUGGUAUGCCAAUUCUAUCACUGAAGAUGUUUCACUGAUUUGAUCACAUAAACUUUCCUCUGACGGGUGAUGGUAAUUCCCAAGUCCUCAUGGACCUGUUUAUUGAUGGUUGUUUAUUAAGAAUCAUGAUGUGAUAUCUGCCUUUCAUUUGUUUCAUGGAUCUUUAUUGCAUCGGUUCAAGAACCUCGAAGGCGGCUACCUCUCCUUCCUCAAGAUCAUGGCUGCGAUAGUCAUCGCUACUACAAGAGGAUCAAAGCUGAAGAUGCAUCAGCCAUCCCGUCCGGCGAGGGGGCUCAAGAAGAAGUAACCAAUAAAAUACGAUGGGGGCCCUGUCAGUGAUGGACGAGAUGGUCUUGAUUCGGAGAAAGACAAGGACACACAACAAUGCUGGGGAUUAAAGAGAGUAAGAGAAAGAGGAAGGGCAGUGGGACUUGAUGUUGCCGAUGGUUUGCGUGCUUGCUGCAGUGUGUUUGUGCUUGGUGUCUUUGCAAAGGCACAUGAAUUCGUGCUGGCACAUCUAAAACUCUUUUAUUUGAUUGGCAGACAGGGUGUUCCAGGAUGCGAGCAGGGCUCAGAAUUGCUCGGUAAUCAGCUUCAGCUGCUGAAUGAUGGUCGUCCGCUUGCCGUCGCCGUGUGCCGUGGCAGAGUGGUGGUCAGCUCACGGAUCAAUAUGUUAUGUGCUAGUUUUCGAUGGAGUUCGUGUGGAGAGCAAAGAAGGUUGUACAUCUCAGGUCUCGACCUGAUGGGAUAACGUGAUAACUUAUGCUCACCUUCGUGCGGAGAGGCAGAAGCUGAGUCUGCUUUGGGGAAGGCAUUUGUACACAUGGGCUGCCUCUUAUAUUAGGCUACAGCCGAACUAACCUAGGAAACAGUAGCUGACUAAGAUAGUCUGUAUUAUACAGGGGUAUUGCAUACUUAUUUUAAACUAUUGUUUCCUAACCUUCAAUCGGGACUCUAGACCAACUCUCACCUGAACGCUAUUUACUGCCUAGGCUUCUGGUUUACUGCUGCUGCUCCUAAUGCAGUACCUGCUACAUCUGGAAUAGAACUGCUGCUGCCAUCAAUUUUCUUGUGGCACCUCUGGUAUGUGUGGGCCCCAAAAGGAGUCCACAACAACUUAUCUCUUAGCUUUACCUCCAACACAAGUUUGCUCAUGCAAGGUUGCAAUUCUUGAACAUGAACAACCUGCCAUAGCCUUAAUAUAGAUUUAUGCCGCGGCUGGCUGGAAAGUGGAACUGAAACAACUUAAAAGUUAUGCUGUGUUUCAAAAUGUUCGCAUUAUAUUUGGGGUAGGGCAGUGCUGAUCAUUUUUUUUCCAUUUCGUUAAUGUUAAUCUUUCUUACUAGUUACGACAAGUACCCUAAGCUGGUUUGUUUAGCCUACACAGCUACACACUCUUAGCCCAAAGCAUAUACUGCCCUCCAUUCACUUCUAACU